CGCGUAGGCGGUUUGUUAAGUCGGAUGUGAAAUCCCAGGGCUCAACCUUGGAAUUGCACCCGAUACUGGCAGGCUAGAGUACGGUAGAGGGGUGUGGAAUUUCCUGUGUAGCGGUGAAAUGCGUAGAUAUAGGAAGGAACAUCAGUGGCGAAGGCGACACCCUGGACCGAUACUGACGCUGAGGUGCGAAAGCGUGGGGAGCAAACA
rnacentral:rRNA from 1 species